rnacentral:rRNA from 1 species
UACGAGGGGGGCGAGCGUUGUCCGGAAUUAUUGGGCGUAAAGCGCGCGCAGGCGGCCUUUUAAGUCUGAUGUGAAAGCCCACGGCUCAACCGUGGAAGGUCAUUGGAAACUGAAGGGCUUGAGUACAGAAGAGGAAAGCGGAAUUCCACGUGUAGCGGUGAAAAUGCGUAGAGAUGUGGAGGAACACCAGUGGCGAAGGCGGCUUUCUGGUCUGUAACUGACGCUGAGGCGCGAAAGCGUGGGGAGCAAACAGG